UACGUAGGUGGCAAGCGUUGUCCGGAUUUAUUGGGUUUAAAGGGUGCGUAGGCGGCCCUGUAAGUCAGUGCUGAAAUAUCCCAGCUUAACUGGGAGGUGCGCCGAAGACUGGAAGGCUUGAGUAUGGGAGAGGUAAGCGGAAUUCCUGGUGUAGCGGUGAAAUGCGUAGAUAUCAGGAGGAACACCUGCGGUGUAGACGGCUUACUGGACCAUCACUGACGCUGAGGCACGAAAGCGUGGGUAGCAAACAGG
rnacentral:rRNA from 1 species